rnacentral:tmRNA from 1 species
AUCGCGGGCAAGUGCGGGGCCGAUCAGCAUCGACAGACGUCUAAAGGUGAUUGCUUUCUUCCGGCUUGGCCCACCGCUUCGGGCCUUAAUCUAAAUGCGAACGAUAACUUCGCUGAAGAAGUCCGUCUGGCUGCGUAAGCGGUCCGAUAGAUUUCGACAUAAACUCCUAGCGUCUUAGCAGCGUUAGGCGGGGCCGGGAGGGGGCCUUGCAACAGAACCCCUCCACC